rnacentral:rRNA from 1 species
UACGUAGGGUGCGAGCGUUAAUCGGAAUUACUGGGCGUAAAGCGUGCGCAGGCGGUUUUGUAAGCCAGAUGUGAAAUCCCCCGGCUUAACCUGGGAACUGCGUCUGAUACUGGGAAGCUUGAGUUCGGGAGAGGGAUGUAGAAUUCCAGGUGUAGCGGUGAAAUGCGUAGAUAUCUGGAGGAAUACCGGUGGCGAAGGCAGCCCCCUGGGUCGAUACUGACGCUCAUGCACGAAAGCGUGGGGAGCAAACAGG